UUUUAAUAUUUUUUUUUUCGCUCUUCUGGGUUUUUGAAUGAAGAACACUUCGACGACUGGUGAGAGGAGAUUCAUGUUAAACUAAUCCAUAUGGUACUAUCUGAAUCGGCGGCUUGGUUUCUUCUUCCUCCUCGUGGUGGUGGUGAUUUGAUCUAGGGUUUUUUUUUGGUACAUAAAGGAUGCUAUUUUAAUUGGCGGCUUGGUUUCUCCUUCUUCUUCAUCCUCGUGGUGAUUGGCUUUUCCUAAUGUUGGUAAGGGCGCUGCAAAAAGCUGAUGAACCAUCAAUUUUAAAAUCUCAAGUAUAAACCAAUGUAUCAUCAGUUGAAGCUUGUCUCCGCUUUGUCGAGUUGUGAACUAUGGGAUUGGUAGUGCAUGCAUGUUGCGAGUUGGAAAAGUGGUUUCGAUUUGUUGGAUGAUACCAUGGCUUAUAAGUCAGAAGGCAGAAAAGAACCAAAGAGUUCUAAGAGUUUGGUACCCUCGGCUUUGGGAGUGACUUGGAAUGAGAUAUAAGACAAAAGACAUAAAAGAAUGGGAAUCGGAUCUUUUUGGAUGGAUAGUGCAUGCAUUAUGUAAGGAGAGCAGUUGUUGGAUGGUAAAAAACGACCAACGGAUUAAGGAAAAAAGUCUUUAAGACAAGACAAUGAGCUUAGAGCUAAUACACCAACAGCUUAAUGAAGUCUAGCCAACUAUUAAGACAAGACAAUAGAGCUAAUACACCAACAGCUUAAUGAAGUCUAGCCAACUAUUAAGACAAGACAAUGAGCUUAGAGCUAAUACACCAACAGCUUAAUGAAGUCUAGCCAACUAUUAAGACAAGACAAUAGAGCUAUAAACCAACAGCUUAAAAAAGUUGUAAGACAAAGGAGGCAUAAGAUUAAAAAAGUCUUUAAGACAAGACAAUGAGCUUAGAGCAAAUACACCAACAGCUUAAUGAAGUCUAGCCAACUAUUAAGACAAGACAAUAGAGCUAUAAACCAACAGCUUAAAAAAGUUGUAAGACAAAGGAAGCGUAAGAUUAAAAAAGUCUUUAAGACAAGACAAUGAGCUUAGAGCUAAUACAUGUAAGGAGAGCAGUGUUGGAUGGUAAAAAACGACCAACGGUUUAAGGAAAAAAGUCUUUAAGACAAGACAAUGAGCUUAGAGCUAAUACACCAACAACUUAAUGAAGUCUAGCCAACUAUUAAGACAAGACAAUAGAGCUAUAAACCAACAGCUUAAAAAAGUUGUAAGACAAAGGAGGCAUAAGAUUAAAAAAGUCGUUAAGACAAGACAAUGAGCUUAGAGCUAAUACAUGCAAGGAGAGCAGUGUUGGAUGGUAAAAAACGACCAACGGAUUAAGGAAAAAAGUCUUUAAGACAAGACAAUGAGCUUAGAGCUAAUACACCAACAGCUUAAUGAAGUCUAGCCAACUAUUAAGACAAGACAAUAGAGCUAAUACACCAACAGCUUAAAAAAGUUGUAAGACCAAGAUAUUUGACAAAAAAUAUGCAGGCUGUGUAGACUUGAGACUUGUUGCCUCGUUGGAUGGUACAAACGACCAGCAUAUUAAAGUAGGUAUGUGACUUUGAGUAGAUUUCAAGUGUUGCAGACUUCUUGACAGGCAAAUACGGUGGCUACUUUGAGUUUGACUGUGAAGGAUUCUAGGAAGUUAAGUUACCAGCUUCAGAUUCUUGCGUUUACAUUGAUGUGUUUGCAUCGACUUCGGUAGAAAUUGACUUGGCCUAGCCAUCACUUGACAAAGAUCUUGCUUAUGUUGAUGAGGUAUAUGUGCUUCCAAAGAUGUUGAUAUUCUCAUUGAUGCCAAGGAGAUUUAUAUAAGUGUAGCUGAACUUAUGACGAGGUAUAUGUUUUUCUGAGUUUUCUGUGAUAAUCUGAUUUUCUUACAUGUGAAAGUUUAAUUUUACUUCUUGUGAGGCAGAGAAGGAAGAGUGUAUUGAUCACAUCGAAGAAAUGGUAAGUGGCAACUGCAUUACUAUAAUUAGUGUGUUUUUGAAUUCAUAUAACAUUACCAUUUGUCUUUUUCUAGAUUACAUACACUAGAGUUUGUUUCCAAGAACUGUAUGAUUUGGCAUUGGAAUUGAUUCUGAGAGGUCAUGCUUUAGGUUAACUUAAUUUAAACGUUCUGAUAGAUAUAGAUUUCUGUAUCUUUUUCAGUUAAUUGUCAAUUUUAGCUCUACCAGUGCAACUUACUCCACACGUAAAACUUAUUUUAUAC